GACGAACGCUGGCGGCGUGCUUAACACAUGCAAGUCGAACGGAAAGGCCCGGCCUUUGUGGGGUGCUCGAGUGGCGAACGGGUGAGUAACACGUGAGUACCCUGUCCCUGACUGUGGGAUAACUUCAGACAACUGGGGCUCAUACCGGCUAGGAGCUCCUGCUGUAUGGUGGGGGUUGGAAAGAUUCGGCGGUUGGGGAUGGACUCGCGGCUUAUCAGCUUGUUGGAGGGGUAGUGGCUUACCAAGGCCUUGACGGGUAGCCGGCCUGCGAGGGUGACCGGCCACAUUGGGACUGAGAUACGGCCCAGACUCCUACGGGAGGCAGCAGUGGGGAAUAUUGCACAAUGGGCGGAAGCCUGAUGCAGCAACGCCGCGUGCGGGAUGACGUCCUGCGGGUUGUAAACCGCUUUCGCCUGUGACGAAGCGUGAGUGACGGUAAUGGGUAAAGAAGCACCGGCUAACUACGUG
rnacentral:rRNA from 1 species